GACGAACGCUGGCGGCGUGCUUAACACAUGCAAGUCGAACGGAAAGGCCCUGCUUUUGUGGGGUGCUCGAGUGGCGAACGGGUGAGUAACAUGUGAGUAACCUGCCCUUGACUUUGGGAUAACUUCAGGAAACUGGGGCUAAUACCGGAUAGGAGCUCCUGCUGCAUGGUGGGGGUUGGAAAGUUUCGGCGGUUGGGGAUGGACUCGCGGCUUAUCAGCUUGUUGGUGGGGUAGUGGCUUACCAAGGCUUUGACGGGUAGCCGGCCUGAGAGGGUGACCGGCCACAUUGGGACUGAGAUACGGCCCAGACUCCUACGGGAGGCAGCAGUGGGGAAUAUUGCACAAUGGGCGGAAGCCUGAUGCAGCAACGCCGCGUGCGGGAUGACGGCCUUCGGGUUGUAAACCGCUUUCGCCUGUGACGAAGCGUGAGUGACGGUAAUGGGUAAAGAAGCGCCGGCUAACUACGUG
rnacentral:rRNA from 1 species